rnacentral:lncRNA from 1 species
AAUUUUUCAAAAAUAGUCUGCGCUUGUUGAUAUGUUUCUGUGCAUGCAGUGCGUCAAAUGAUCUAAAUGGAUCGUAUUAUUCAGAAGUGGCAGGGUUAAGAAUGCAGUUUGCCGGUCAUUUUCACUGAGCGUCAGUGUUGAUAUUAAUAUGAUACACAGAACUUGAUGAUAGAGGUGAAGGGGGCCCAAGACUUUUUUCCAUAUUAUUAUUUUAUGGAUACCAAGGGUAAUUGCCAAGGGCAAGCGGUAUAUUUUUGACCAGAAUUCAAUCUGGUGGCGUUUUGUGGCCGUCAUAUUAUGUUCGGGUUUCGUUCGUAAGCGUGUAGAUUUGUAAAUAGGCCUAACUUAUGCAUCGCCUACUGACCGCACUGACAGUUAUCGCCAUUUCUUCUGUGUUAUUUCUGAAAUCAUUACUAUUUAAAGUUUACAUGUACUAAUCUUCUGACUUUGAUUUUUGUGCAACAAUGUGGCUCAUCCAGGCCAUGGGAAUGGUUAAGUAGAUUUCUCUUAUACAGCGAAAAGAGGGAAUCAAAACAAUGGAAGUAUUCAGCUCGACUCUCUGUAGGCUGCUAGUUAUAGCCCUAGUCUAAAGUGAUCAAUGAUGUUAUGAAAAAAAUCGUAUUUUCGGGAAGAGACAGAAACAUACUUGAUGUUUCCGAAAAGGCCUAAUUAGCACUGACUGAAGUAGCCUAAAUGUGGAUCAUCAGGUUGUUGCUGCUGUCUAUAAAGUUUAUCAUAGCAAGGUGCUUAUCAUGUGUAUUUUUAUUAUUUCCGAAAAAAGAAUCAAUUCAUCAUUUUCCGAUAACUAGAUCUAUGUCCGACUCCUUUCUAAUGAAAACGAGCAAAAGUAAAACGAGUCUCUCGUCGCGCGCUAUAACGGGGUGUUUUCGGUAUUGUCCUCUCUGGUGAUGAUAAGCUAGUCGAUAGUCAAAAGUUAAAUAUCACCAUAUAUUGUCAGUGAGUUGGUCAUCGUUUGUUGAUGAUUAAAGUGAGAUAGGUGUAGCCAAUGUGCACCAAUGAAAAAUACAAUGGAAUUGAUAGCAACCAUAUUCUUUCGGUUUUCGAUCUGCAUAUGUUGCCACGUAGGCUACCAUACUACAGAAUUAUAUUUAACGAUAUUUAACUGUAUUAGAUCUAUGUUAAUAAACGUAGUGACAAAUAAAUUUCAAUAAAUAUUUAGAGCUGUUUCAACUUCGUCUGGUAUUGUAUAAGCUAUUGCAUUUUGUUUAUUUCCCCAUGUUUCUAAUCUUUGUAAAUGUUAGAACAUAUAUAACUAUCCUGGCAUAUUAAUAUGGAAAAUAUUAAGGUAGAUCUAAGUAUUAAAAAAAAUCACAGUUUUAAUUAGGAUAAAUACCCCAAAGUGUUAACACUUUUAUCACUUAUUGGUGGGCCAAUUCAUAAUUCAUAUUCAACAUUCUUGCUUCAAAUAUGGGAACUAUUUAUUUUAUUUGGCAAUAUAUAUUUUUCAUUUAUGUACAUAUUUUUCAAAUAAGGUUUUAGAAACUUAGCCAUGAUAUUCACUUGAAUCACUAGUUUGAGUGUACAGCAGAAAGGUAAAGUUACUGCUUUUGAAAAACUACAGUUGAUCUGUUGACUGAUAAAACUAUUUGCCAAUAUUACUAUCAGUUACAUCAUACUCUAUUAGUCUAAGUAAAUGGGAUUUAUCUAUACAGUACUGGUUUAUUUAAGAAUGUGAUACUUUGUGGUUUCUGUUUUUCUUUCAGGUGGAGAAAACAGUAUUGUGGGAGCGUAUUUGUUUAAAGUACAUAUCACUGACAGAAAGUUACCAAGGCAUAAGGAGAGACUGAGGAUACAGUUGAAGAUCAUCCCUGUGACUUUUCAUUUGAGGACUGAAAAGGCUCCCCAGCAACUCAGCCCAUGUUCUGACUUGUCAUUUAACAAAUAAAUAAAGGUCACCUCAA